rnacentral:ribozyme from 1 species
UUUUUUUUUUUUUUUUUUUUUUUUUUAUGAAAAAAAGCUACUUCAUGUAACAGUUGUUAUUAUGAUACAUUCCUAUUCCUAUUCCUAUUCAUCACGGAAGUGCACACUUAGAGAGUGGUGUCCUGAGAAAAAAG